rnacentral:rRNA from 1 species
AUGGCGGCCUCCUCCACGUCCACGGCGACGGUGCUCCUCCUGGCGCUCCUCGCGUGCGGCGGCGCCACGGCGCAGGUGUUCCCCCGGCCGCUGUUCCCGCGAGCGCCGUGGAACUUCACGUUCCCCAACGGGCCCGGGGACGCAGCAGGGACCAGCGGCACCGGCGCAACGGGCGGCGGCGGCGGCGGGCCGUCGGUGCCGGCCAUGUUCGUGUUCGGCGACUCCCUGACGGACAACGGCAACAACAACGACCUCACGUCGCUGGCCAAGGCCAACUACCUGCCCUACGGCAUCGACUUCGCCGGCGGGCCCACCGGCCGCUUCUCCAACGGCUACACCAUGGUCGACGCCAUAGCUGAGCUGCUGGGGCUACCCCUGCUGCCGUCUAACAACGAGGCCUCCAACGCCGACAGCGACGCCGGCGCGCUGCAGGGCGUGAACUACGCCUCCGCCGCCGCCGGGAUCCUGGACAACACGGGCCAGAACUUCGUGGGGCGCAUCCCGUUCAACCAGCAGAUCAAGAACUUCCAGACGACGCUGAACCAGAUCAAGGGGAAGAUCGGCGCCGGCAAGCUGGCCUCCUCGCUGGGCCGCAGCAUCUUCUACGUGGGCAUGGGCAGCAACGACUACCUCAACAACUACCUGAUGCCCAACUACAACACCCGCAACGAGUACAACGGCGACCAGUACUCCACGCUCCUCGUGCAGCACUACACCAAGCAGCUCACCAGCCUGUACAACCUGGGCGCCCGGAGGUUCGUGAUCGCGGGGGUGGGGUCGAUGGCGUGCAUCCCCAACAUGCGCGCGCGGAACCCGACCAACAUGUGCUCGCCGGACGUGGACGAGCUCAUCGCGCCCUUCAACAGCAAGGUGAAGGGCAUGGUGGACACCCUGAACACCAACCUCCCGCGCGCCAAGCUCAUCUACAUCGACAACUUCGAGAUGAUCUCCGAGGUGCUCCGGAGCCCCUUUAACUACGGCUUCAGCGUGGUGGACCGCGGGUGCUGCGGGAUCGGCCGGAACCGCGGGGUCAUCACCUGCCUGCCCUUCCUCCGCCCCUGCCCCAACCGCAACACCUACAUCUUCUGGGACGCCUUCCACCCCACCGAGAGGGUCAACGUGCUCCUCGGCAAGGCCGCAUACUCCGGCGGCACCGACCUCGCCUACCCCAUGAACAUCCAGCAGCUCGCCGCGUGGCAGCCGUAG